AUGAUGACUCUCGGCAACGGAUAUCUCAGCUCUUGCAUCGAUGAAGAACGUAGUGAAAUGCGAUACCUGGUGUGAAUUGCAGAAUCUCGUGAACCAUCGAAUCUUUGAAUGCAAGUUGCGCCCGAGGCCACCCGGCCGAGGGCACGCCUGCCUGGGCGUCAUGC
rnacentral:rRNA from 1 species